UGAGAGAUACUUAUUUCACUACAUUUUUUCUCAAAAUUUCUUGAGAAAAAAUUGGUUGAAGCUUCAUUAAUUUAUUUUUACUUCUCUAUUUUUGUUGGAUUAUUAAUUGAAGUUUUCAAUCAAGAUUUUAAAUUUUCAUCUCUAAAACAACAUGUAUAUUUUUUAAAAUUCAGAAAGAGGGCAAUAACAAGUGCGUUAUGCACUAAUGGAAUUGACAAAUGAGUCUCCAAUCGUUGGCUUUGUUAAUGGUGGCAAUAAAAGACCCUUUUGCUUAAGAUGGUUGAAGAGGCUUGGAUUCAACUCCACAAAUUCAGAAUCUCUCUGUUUUGGACGAGCCAGAAAAAUUCAACUUAGAGUCAACACAAGCAAUACAAGCACUUAAGAUGAAGAAUUAAAGAUGAUGUGAAGGAAGAUAUGAUCCAAAGAGGGAAUCAAGCAUUUCUUCAUGUUUCUCAUUACACAUCAAAUAUUUGACAGCGAUCACUGGACGAAUUCGAUGGAAGUGAUUGUGCGUGGGUCAUUCUAAGACUACUGUUGCGCAUGGAUUGCUGGAUUUUUUUAUUGUUUUUUAUUGUCUCUAUGUUUCUUUUGUCUUUUUAUUUUAUUUUAUUUGCAUAAUAAGUACAAUAGAUUGUGUACAUCCCUUCGAAUUCAAAUCUAAUUAAUGAGAUUGUGGAGCGAGGUUUGCAUGGGA